ACAAGCAGCGGAGCGUGUGGUUUAAUUCGAUGUUACACGAAGAACCUUUACCAGGGUUUGACAUGCAAGUGGUAGGAAGCCGAAAGGUGACCGACCCUUCGGGGAGCUUGCACAGGUGCUGCAUGGCUGUCGUCAGCUCGUGUCGUGAGAUGUUCGGUUAAGUCCGCUAACGAGCGCAACCCUCGCUGUGUGUUAUAUGUGUCACACGGGACUGCCGGUCUUAAGCCGGAGGAAGGUGGGGAUGAUGUCAAGUCAGCAUGGCCUUUAUAUCCUGGGCUACACACACGCUACAAUGGUCUGUACAAUGGGUAGCCAAGCCGCGAGGCGGAGCCAAUCCUGAAAGCAGGCCUCAGUUCAGAUUGCAGUCUGCAACUCGACUGCAUGAAGCCGGAGUUGCUAGUAACCGCAGGUCAGCAAUACUGCGGUGAAUACGUUCCCGGGUCUU
rnacentral:rRNA from 1 species